UUUCUCAUUUGGGCAUUGUUUCUUGAUUGGGGUUUGUUGCGGCGAUAUGUAGCUGCGGAUGAUGGUGGGGUGGUGAAAAGGGAAGGGUUUGAGAUUAUAAUUGGCGGUGGCUAUAGUCCACCUCCUGAGUAUGAAGAAGGCUGUCCACCUCCCCCUCCUGAGCCUGAAUGCCCCCCACCUCCACCUCCAUCUCCACCUCCACCUCCACCUCCAUCUCCACCUCCACCUCCAUCUCCACCUCCACCUCCACCUCCAUCUCCACCUCCACCUCCAUCUCCACCUCCACCUCCACCUCCAUCUCCACCUCCACCCCCUCCUCCACCCCCUCCUCCUCCUCCUCCUCCACCUCCUCCUCCUCCUCCGCCUCCGCCUCCUCCUCCUCCACCAGUCGAUCGCAAUGCGAGACUUAAAAUUGCUCUAAAAGCAAUCAGGAUAUUCCAAGCCAAAAUCACGGUAGAUCCUUUUAAUAUCGCCAAGGGAUGGAAGGGCAACAAUCCUUGCAAAUUCAAGGGCUUCGUCUGCAGUACUGUCCCGGACAAGAACCUGAACGCAGUCGCCGGAGUAGACUUCAAUGGCUUUAACUUCGGAGGCCCCAACCUCGCUCUUGACGGCUUCCUUAACGGGUUACCAGACAUAACCAUCUUCCACGCCAAUUCCAACGACUUCAACGGUCGCAUCCCCAAAAUUGACACUACAAAACUCCGAUACCUUUACGAGCUGGACUUGAGCAACAACAAGCUACAUGGUGAGUUCCCAUACGAAGUCCUCGCCGCCAAGCAGCUCACCUUCCUGGACCUCCGGUUCAACUCAUUCUCUGGCGUGGUUCCGCCGCACGUCUUCAUACUAGAUGUGGACGUUAUUUUCAUAAAUGACAACAAUUUCAUACAGCAGCUCCCGGAAAAUAUAGGGGACACGCCAGCCCUUUACCUCACUUUUGCCAAUAACAAGUUUACAGGCCCCAUCCCACGCAGCAUCGGCCGAUCCAAAAACCUUCUCGAGGUCCUUUUCCUCAACAACCAGCUGUCAGGGUGCUUGCCCUACGAGAUAGGAUAUUUGAAAGACGCCACAGUGUUUGACGUUGGUUUCAACCAGUUAACUGGCCCAAUCCCGCAUUCAUUCGGCUGCUUGGACAGCAUUCAGAUCCUUAACUUGGCCGCAAACCAGUUCUACGGGCCUGUCCCUGAAACUCUCUGCGAGCUGCCCAACCUCUACAACCUGUCUCUCUCACACAACUAUUUCACUCAGGUUGGCCCCAAAUGCCGAAAAUUGAUAACGGAGAAGAAACUGGACGUGAGGAUGAACUGCAUUUUGGGACUUCCACAGCAGAAACCAGAGCAUGCCUGUUCUCAUUUCUUCUCCCAAGUCAGGCAAUGCCCUGAUCCCAAGUCAUUUAUCAAAGUCCCUUGCGGUAGGUACCCAAGCCAUCUUCCUUCAUCCUCCAAGCCCCCCGCUCUGCGAACCUAUGGUACCCUCAUCCCACAUCGACUGUGAGCCUCUCUCUCUUCAAACAUGGCCAUAAUCCUUUAAUUCUUAUAUGUAUAUUUUUCUUUUCCUGUAAUGCUCAUAUGUAUAUUUCCCCCCUUCCAUUUCAUGCCUCAUGCCUGCAACCAAAUAAUUCCAUAUAUAUUCUGUACUGGUUUCAUUUCAGUUCUUCCCUAAGAAUGUGCCAUUGUGAUAAUAAAAUUAGUAUCCUUCUAAGCUUCUGACAAAUUUAGCAAGUGACUCCUACAGUCCUACUGAAUACUCCGGUUUUUUUUUUUUUUUUUUUCAUAAUAAUUAAUUAAUAUUUUAAAAUUUUCCAUUUCAACCCACUAUAAUUCCACAUCAGUAACCAUCAUCAAAUUGUAUUCCACUAAAUGCGUGCCAAAUGGUCGAGGAUUUUUCAAACGAUUUUUAGAAAAAUUGAAAGGAAAAGGGGCUUUUAAAAUUUUAAAAUGGCAAUGCUUUAAGAAAAGUAAGCUGUCCUCCACUGAACAGGGUCCUACUCCUUUUCUUCUGAAUCGGGGGAUGCCUUCACCCCAAGGGCAAAUUGACCCUUCAUUGACCUAGGACGGUGGCCAGUGCCAAAAGCCAAGCACAGCUCGACCUUGCUUUUGUGAAAAAACCCAACACAAAUUAAAGGGGGUUGGGGAGGUGGGUCCUAUCACCCAUGCCGACAAGCUACUUAUCUUCAUACAGACUUCAUUGAUGACACAAUAAAUUUGUGUACCCACCAAUUUCAGGUUAUAUGAAGAUAGAGUGAGUGGAUAAGAAAUGAUUUACAUUGACAUAAACUACAAGCACCUUAACGUGAGGGGUGAUUGAUUGAAUAUAUUUAGAAUGGUCCUUGAAAGGACUCUUAAGUUUUACAUUUCAUUUCUAUUGUCGAUAUUUUGAUUUGACUUGUUGUCUUCAUCCAUUUGUAGCACUGUAACGUCCAACGAAUGAGUCAAAAAUGGUGUGAAUAAACUUGAAGGAAAUGACAAAAUGUUGGUCCCUAUCAAAGUCGUAUCAAUUGCUAUUAAAUUUGUAUAACAAAAUUUGGAUGAUUGAAUGAAGUAUUAUAAAUAAAUGAAAUCAAGAUACAAUAAUAUAAAUAAUUAUACAUGAAAAGGUAUACAUUACACCAUUUGAUUAAUAAUAUUAUUUUUUUAUAUUUAUAAAAUAAUAGUGUGAUUAAUGUUACAUCAUUUUCAGUAUCUAUUAAUAUUUAUCGUAGAAGCUAUACUUCAACAUUGCUAUAGGUAUAGGUAGACCCAUUUUGAAAGUAUAUAAAUGGUAUGAUGCGAAAGAUACAAUAGUCGGAUGGGACGAUGUUAUGGGUGGACCUGUAUUGAAAAUAUAUAAAUGGCGUAAUAAAGAGAUACAAUAACCAUAUGACAUUCGAGAAUAAUUGAUAAAUGGUGAUUGACAAUAACUUUCCAUAUUUUAGUACUAUUAAUUACAUUAUUUUGUCAUAGGGUUUUGAUUAAAUGCAUAUUGUUUUUCUUUGAUUUAAAAUUUAAUUAUACAAGGUUUGUGGAAAAAUUGUGCUUAAGACUAAUUAGACCAAAAAAUUUGUCUUAAAUCCAUAAAACCUAUCCAUUCAAGCCCAAGACUCAACAUAAGUAUAAGAAUUGAGAAGAAGGAUAUGAAACUUCAAUAUUUAUAAACUAUCAUUUUAUGAUUAUGAAAAAAAAAACACAAAAUUCAACCUAAAAGUUAUAUAAAAAAAAAUAAAACUCUUCAAAAUAAAAAUUAAAAUACAAUUUUUCUUAAUAAUAAUAUUGGAAAAAAGCAUUUUUAGAAUAAAAUUGAAAAGCAAAAAAAAAAUUAAUAAAAUCAAAUUUCCCUUUUUAAUAAACUAAGUUUUUCUUUUAAUAUAUUAUUAUUAUUUAAAUAAAUCCCUAUUUUAGAAUUUGAAAUCACAUUUUUUUAAUAAAUUUGAACUUUUUUUCUCUCUUGAUUUUUUAUAAUUAAUUUAAAAUAUUUUUUAGGACAAAACGGGGAUAACAUUUUUUAAAAAAUAAAUUGUAAUUUUUAAAAAAUAAAUUUAAGAAUUUUCUUUUAAAACAUAAAUUAAUUUUUUUAUAAAUAUUUUCUAAUUCAAAUUGAAAUUGAUUUUUGUCAAAAUAAAAUAAAAUAAAAUAAAAAGAUAUUUUGUAAAUAACAUUUUCUUCUAUUUAAUAAAUAAAAAAUUAAGAUUUUUUUUUUGUGCAAUCUCUGUGGAUAUAUUUUUGUUUCUUAUAAUCAAUGGUCCCUCCUGUGAGUCAUGCCACUGGACCGUUCUCCCCGUAUUUAUUCGGUUGGGUAAUGAUGAGUUGACAGUUCAAGACAUGACCGACCAUACUAUGAUACACACAGCUAGCCUCCAUGGCAUGCAGAACUGGUCCAAAAUUUUCAAUAAUGAGAGGUUGAUAGAUAGAGAGUAGUGACCUUCCAACCACUUUAAUUGGUGACAAUGAUUUAUUGGCAAAUAGUAAUUCAAGUAGUAAUUGAAUGGAAAAAAAUUUAUACAUUUUAUAUAGUAAUCACUUUUUAAUAUUUUUAUUCAUAUAAACAUGAACAAAAGACAAAAAUAUAUAACAAAAAUGAUUAGAAAUAACACCCCAUCAAGUACAAUGUCAACGGAUUUCAAAACUCUUUUGAAAAGAAAACAAUAAAAUAAUUUUUUUUUUAAAUAUUUUAUUUUAAAUUUUGGGAUAAUUUUUUUAAAUCAAUUUAAGGUGUUUUCACAUAUUUUUAUUUUAUAGAAUAAAAAAUUUAGUUAAAAAAUAUAAUAGCGAAGAUGAAGACUAUUUUCUAUAAUUUUAUUUAAAAAAUUAGAAAGAGUUCUAUCGUAACUUGGACUACAAACUCAACUAGAAUUUAAAAACAAUUAAUUGAGCUCAAUCUAAUCUAAUAUCUAAUUUGCGGUGUUCGUCCCAAGUUUAAUCCAACUUCAUUUCUCCAUAUUUGGGUUAAAAUGAAGCUUAUUGGAUUAAAUUCAAGUUGGUUUGGAUGAUCAAAUUAUAUAAUUCAAAAUCUAUUUAUAAUUUUAAAUUUUUUUAUAUAUAUUUAUAUGAAAAUUUUAAUAAUAAAUAAAACAAAAUUUCAAGAUGAUAUUAAAAAAGUAAAAAUAAAUUUAUACAUCUAAAAUAAUGAAGAAGUAUAUGAUAUAAUAUAAUUUGAUAUUUUUCAAGAAAAAAAAAUUAUAUUAAAUUAUAUACAUUAUAAAUGUUAUAAAAAUACUAAAUUAAACUUGAUUUUUAUUUUACUUCUUCUCUUCAUCUAUUUGUGGUACCAUAAUGUGCAAAGAAUUAGUCAAAAAUGGUGUGAAUAAACUUUAAGGAAAUGACAAAAUGUCGAUAUCCUAUAAAGUUGGUAUCACUUGCUAUUAAAUUUGUACACACGAUUGAAUAAAGUAUAAAUAAAUGAACUUAAGAUAUACAUAAAACUGUAUACAUCACAUUGUUUAAUUAAUAGUGUUUUUUAUGCUUAGUAUACUUAAAUGUUAUUGGUGGUGUCUUUUCUAUAUCUAUUUAAAAAAAAGAGAGUAUGUUUUAAUGUUAUGUCAUUUUCGGUAUCUAUCGAAAAAACCAUAUUUUCAAUAUUUAGAGAAAAAAAGUAUACUUGGACCAUGUUAUAGAUAGACCCAUUUUGAAAAUAUAUGUGAAAGAUACCUAAUUCAAAAUUCAUUUAUAAUUUUUUUUACAUAUAUUUAUAUGAAAAUUUUAAUAAUAAAUAAAAUAAAAUUUCAAGAUAACAAUUAAAAAGUAAAAAUAAAUUUAUAUAUCUAAAAUAAUGAAAAAGUAUAUGAUAUAAUAUAAUUUUAUAUUUUUUCUUAAAAAUUUAAUGUAAGAUAAUAUACAUUAUAAAUGUUAUAAAAACAUAAAAUCAAAUUCAAAUUAAAUUCGAGUUGUUCAAACCUUGACCUAAACCCAACUCAAAUUGAGAUCGAGUUAAAAAAACCUAAUUAAAACUCGAUCCAAGUAUUGACAAUAAUUGUCCAAAUGUUUACUUGAAUUCAAGUUGGGUUGGAGAUAUCGGUCCAAAUUGCACCCCUACCAAUAAUAUUAUAAUUUUUUUUUUUUACUCUUCUUUUAGCCUACUAUACUCCCAUUUUCUAUCUAAUUUUGAAAUAAUUUUUUUUUUUGAAUAUGAGUAUGAUUUUAUAUUGACUUCUUGUAUUACGAGUCUUCUAGUCGGUAAAGAUCUUUCUUUCCUUCUAUUUCCAACUCCAUGUUGGUUUUAUUCUCAUUUAUUUUAAUAUUUUUUAUUAUUUUAAAAAUCACAUUACGAAACUUCAAACACCAAGAAAGGGCCCCCCAUUUCUUGACUCUAGAGGUCUUCAUCACUUUUCUAUUUUUCUUGUUAUUAAACCACAUAUACACAUGACCUUUCCUUGGCUUUAAUUUGUGACCACAAAAAUUAAAAGGCAUCUUUGUACUUAAUCCCAAGGAAAAAAUAGUGCCUAACCCAAGUCACCAUUUCCUUAUCAACAUAGAAUAUAACAAAUCGAGCAUUUGAUUACCUAAUAUGUUAUAUUCUAGAAUUAAGUUUAUUAUAACAAAAACUUGUUAUAACUUAUAAUAUAUCUAUUAUUAGAAAUGUAUUUCAAAGGGUUGGGCCAACAACCAACUUGACCAAACCAUGGUUCUUAAGGAUUUGAAAUUAUGCCCAAUAGGUUUUGAACCCUGAUUUUUGUAAAAUGCCCAUCAUGACUAUGAGAUUUCAACCACCAUGAGAUUUUGAAGACUUAAAAGGCACCAUAUUAUUGAAUAUGACUAUUAUUAUUAUUAUUAUUAUUAUUAUUAUUAUUAUUAUGUCGCUUAAUACUAAUUAAAUGAUGAUAGACAAGGUGUAACUAACUUGGAUUUGAACUUGGAUAAAGUAGUAUCAAAACAGGGUGUCAAAAUGCUUCUCGAAUGAUUUUUAUGGAUAGUUAAGGAUAAAAAUAUUAAUUUUCACCAAUAUAUUAAUAAUUGGAUUUUGUGAAUAUAUUGGGAAAUAUCAAUGAAAAUUUUGAAAACAAUAUUGAUAAAAAAUCACAAACAAUGUGUGAAAACUCUAUAAAAUAGUAAAAAUUUCAUUACUAUACAAAGAAAAUGUAAUGAUUGUUUUUUAAUGACUUUUUUUUAUAAAAAAAAUUGUCAUUAUCUCUAACCAAUAGCAUAAACAAUGACUAUAUAAAAUAAAUAGUCAUCUUGCUUUUCUAUAUAUAUAUAUAUAUAUAUAUAUAUAUAUAUAUAUAUAUAUAUAUAUAUAUAUAUGUAUAUGUAUAAGAUUUGGUGGGAAAACAAUUUUUGUUUCCUUUUUUUUUUUUUAAAAAGUCAUCUUUAUAAUGUAAAAAUAACUAUUUUAAAUAGUCAUAAUGUUUUUUCAUAUUUCAUUAUAACGUUUAGUGGGAAAAAAAUUUAUUUCCCUCCAAAAACACUUAUUCUCAAACCCUAACCCUUCUUUGCUCCUCUCUUUACUUUGAGGUGUUAUCUCUCAACUCUAAUGAGUUUAUGUUGAGAAAUAGGUAAAUCUUUCUUCUCUAUUUGUUCUAUGAUUUUAUUCUCAACCUCACCCCCAUUGAAAGAAAUGAGUUGUGUUUCAACCUUUUUGUAUUUGACUGAUAAGAAAAUCAAAAAGUGAUUUACAUUUUCUUUUUUUUUCUUUACCUUUUUUACUUUUUCUUGUUUAGUUACUUCCUUGUGAAAUGUUUUCUUCAAUUAAGUUACGUGUUUAGUUUCCAUUUGUGGUUGCUAAGAAAAUGUUGAAUGAUUUUUAUCCAUUUUCUAUAUUUUUCAUGUUUAAAUAUGAUUGGUUAUUGAGAAAAUAGAGGAAUUGUUGUUCUUCAUUUUGUUUGAUUUCCAUUUAUUGUUUUGUUGUUAGGAAGAUAGAAAAAUUAUUACUCUGUGUUUCUUUGUAUUAAUUCAUGUUUGAGAAAAUGAAGGAUUUUUUCUUUCUCUGAUUUCCAUAUUUUCAGUUUCUAUUCUUAAUUUACACAUUUAUUGCUUAACUGUUGAGAAAAUGAAAGAUUUUUUUCUCUUUAAUUUUCAUUCUUGAUUUGCACACAUUGAUUGUUUGAUUGUUGAGAAACGGAGGAAUUGUUCUUUAAUUUUCUACAUUAAUUUUUAUGUUUGUUCUUUGAUUUGUUGAGAAAAUAGAGGAUUUUUUUUCUAUAAUUUCCAAAUUUUUAGUUUUUAUUCUUGAUUUUCACAUUUGUUGUUUGGUUCUUGAGAAAAGGGACAAAUUAUUGUUCUCUAAUUUUCCAGAUUUUCUUGUUGUUUGAUUUGCUAAUAAAAUGGGGGACCUUUUUUGUUUUCUCUUCAAUUUUAAGAUUUCCAAUUUUCACAUUUUCACAUUUUUGUUUUCUAUUUUUAUAGAUUAAUUUCACGUUUUCUUGAUUUGUCCAGAAAAUGGAGGAUUUUUUUUCUACAAUUUCUAGAUUUUUAGUUUCUAUUAUUGAUUUUCAAGUUUGUUGUUUGGUUGUUUAAAAAAUAGAGAAAUUAUUGUUCUUUACUUUUCUAAAUUUUCACAUUUGUUGUUUGAUUCAUUGAGAAAAUGGGGGAUUUUUUUUUUCUCAACUUUCCAUAUUUUCAAUUUCAAUUUCUACGCUUUAGUUAAUGAGAAAAUUGAGGAAUAAUUCUUCUUAUUUUCUAGAUUUAGUUUUGUGUGUGGUUUCUCUUUGAAAAGUGGAUAAAUUUGGAUUUCUUGAUUUUUCUUUUUCCACAUAUGAUUGUAGUUGAUUGAACUUUACUUGAUGUUGUUUUGUAAAAUCUUUAAGUUUAUGUACACUUUAUAAGAAAGUGUAAAACUCGAUAUCUAUAAUUUUUCCUUUCAAAAAUAAAGGAAAAAGGGAAAUAGGAGUUCGAUGAAGUGAGAGGAGAUUCUUUGAAUGUCUUAUUUAUUUCAUGUGAUUUUAUUUAAGAUUUUUGUUUGUGGGUUCAUAUUUUUGUAUUUGUCUUAACUACUCUUAAAUAACUUUUUCUUUUCUGCUAAUUAGAAGAUGAUGAUUUGAAAUACAAGAAAAAGACGGGGAGAAGUUCUCUAGGAGUAAAACCAUUGUCUCAUUAUUCAUGUAUUAUAUCAUGAUAAGACACUAUGUUCUUAAGAUUAUUUUACGAUGAUUUGGUAAAUCUUUUGUUUCUAUAAAUAUAUAUAUAUAUAUAUAUAUAUGAUUUUCAGAAAACAUCAUGAUUAAUAUUAACUUUUGCAUUAUCAAAAUUAUAAAAAAAACUGUUGAAAUUGUUUGAGAUAAAAAAGAGAAAGUUAAAUAGUUUGUGAUAUGCUUAAUUCUCUAAUAUUAUUAUUGUUAUUCAUGUGUUCUUGUGUUUUACACUCUUUGGAAAAUAUACUAAAAUUUAUUUCAAUUUAUUAUAAUUUUAUUUAAUAUCCAUGUUAUUUAGUUAUUAUUUAUCUUAACUUAUUAUAAUUUUAUUUAAGAUCUAUGUUAUUUGUAUUUUAACUCUUGAUAGUUUAAAGGUCAUCAAACAUAUUCUGAAACAAGAUCUCAUUGGGUAGCAUUUGUAACUGAACUAAUACUUAACAAAGGUCCACCUUCAAUAGGUAUAUGAAACUCUUUUCUUACAUUUAUAUUAUAUAUUCUUUGAUUGUUUGAAAAAAUCACAAUAUUGAUAACAUGUUUUCAUAUAACAUGAUUGAUAAAAAAAAAGUUAUAAAAAUUAGUAUAAUAAAAAAUUUAAGCAAAUCGCCCUAUUUGUCUUAUGUAUUUUAAAAUUAUUUUCUACCAUUUUCCUCUCAAUUUCCUUUUCCUCAAAUUUUAUGAGAACCAAACAUAUCCUUACUAUUCCCUUUUUAUGGGUUGGGAAAUUGGGGUUACACUCUUAGUAAAAUGGCUUCUUUGAAGUUGUUUGAAGUGAUUCAAGUUCUCAAUGUUGAUUAAUUUGAACUUAUAAUAAGUUCAUUAGUUGUUUUUAUUGACUCUUGUGAGUUGUGGAAGCCAAGUACUAGUUGUGUAACAUUUUUUGGAAAAUCAAUUAAGACCAAUUUGAGUGUAUAAAUACUAAUAUGUGAUUUACCUGUUAUGUACAUGUAGAGCAAAUUGUCUAUAUUCAGCAAAAUCAUGGGCUAUGAGUGAUAUUUCUCAUUUUUAGAUCAAUCUUUUAUUAUGGAUAUACUUUAUUGGUGUUAAAAUACUUUAACAUGUUUGUUCCUUAAAACGUAUUAUUAACAAUAUCAAUUAAUUAUAUUUUGUUCAUUUUUUAAUUUUUAAAAAUUUCGCUUAUAUUUGUUAAAUUUAAAAUAUAAGUUAUCUACUACAAUUGAAAACUACUCCACAUGAAUAGCAUCACAACAAGUCCUCAACAACAUUGCGAUAAGCCCUAAUAAAUUUUUUUAAUUUAAAAUUAAAUAUUUGAUGAUAAUUAGUCAAUGCAUACAACAUAGAAAAGAAAAGUAAACAUAAAAGGUACAUAUCAUUUUCGUAUUAGUUAUUAUAAUGAUUGAAAGAAAGCUUUGGUGACACCAUGAAAAAUAGUCAUCAAUGAAUUAUAAUGAUAAUAGAAAAUAGACUUUAUUGAUAGAAAAUGACAUGAAUAAAUAGGCAUCAUUAAGAAAAGAUGACUAGAAAAAAUAGUUAUCAAUAACUUUAUAAUGACAUAGAUAAGUAGUCAACAAACGACCCCCUAAAAGAUGACUUUCUUUUUUCUUAACAAUAAUAUGACAAUGUUUCUCUAUCAUCCUCUCUCUUUUUCUUUGUAGUGAAUUUGUAAUAUUAUGUGAUAAUAUAUGAACUUGACAACACAUUAAUAUUUGAAUCUAUUGAAUGACAAAAAAGAACGAUAAUAUUAAGAUAAUUAUUUUUUAUUUAAAAAUAUUGAUAAUUUUAUUUAUAAAUUUAUAUUUGAUUUGAUUUUAAUUAAUUUAUAAUAUAUAUUUAUUUAUAAUUUGUAAAAAAUAUUAUGUAUAAUUUGUGUGUGUAUAUAUAAUUUGAUAUUCAUGUUUAACACAAAUGAAGAUUUGGUUCAAUGGCACAAGUAAUCCAUGUUAUGUUUAAGGUUUGGGUUCGAUCUGCACGCAUGUAUACGAUUGACGUUAUAGAUGUGGUCAUGGCAGAUUCGAGCUCUCUCUCAUCCUAUUUUGCAGAUAUUAUCUUCCUUUUGGGCCUGGUUUGUUUGAUUGGAUAUUUGAAAUGAGUCCAAAAAAGAACUUUGAUGAGUAGGGCGCUCACAGGCUGAAAAAUUAUUUGAUGGGCUCUAGAUAAUGGGCCUUUUAUGGGCCAGAAUACGACCCUGUGGUCCAAGGUACCAGAGACGGUACAUUAUCUCCACUUUUCAGUCAUUGAAUGGAAACAAAGUCAAACUUUGGAGUUAUGUAAUUUGUGCACCAUUAAUCUAAAAGGAAUCAGAUAAUCCUUUAUAGCUCUUGCCAUAAAAGGGCUUGACCAGGGGUGUGGGCCUAAGGCCCAAGCCCAAUAGGAUUCUUCUCAGCAAAACAAAAAAGUUCACCUUGUUCCAUCAUUUGAAGCCAUUAAUCAAUUGAUCUUUCGUCAUUAUCUUUUACAAUAAUUAUAUCAACCAACCUACUAUGACAUGAUUUCAUUGUUUUAUGAAUUGAAAUCAUCGAUUCGUCUAUUUUCUUAGUCAUGAUGGGUCUAUGACCAUGUAAAUGAUUAUUUUGAUUUGUUUCAUUACCAAUAUUAUCUUUUCUUUAUCCUUUAUUAUAAGUUUUAUUUGAAAUUUUUGUUUUAUUUUUUUUUUAUCACUUAUCACAAGCGUGCAAUGAUCUCAUAAGUUGAUGAAUGAUUAUAAAAUUUAAGAUGGUGUUUGUUUUUUUUUUGCUUUUUGCUGAAAGCAAUUUAUUUUCAAAAUUUAAGUUGUUUGUUUUUCUAUUUUUUCAUGACUUAUUAUAAACUUUUUACUAAAUAAAAAAAGCAAAAAUAUGUAGUUUUUCUAAUUAAAAAAAUAACAUAUAUAUUUUUUUUUUACUUUUUAAUACUUAAUAGAAAUAAAAUACUACAAAAACAAACAACCUAAUAUUUAAUACUAUUAAGCAUUAAGGUUCUAUAUAGAAUUAAGUAAAAAAACAAACACCACCUAACUUUUUUAAAGUUUUUAUCUAUAAUAUAAUCAAACAUUAUGAUCAAAAUGUUUUCCAAUCAUACGAGUAUCAUUCAAAUUUUUCCUAAUAAUUUUUAAUAGAUUGACAAUCAUUUACUCUCAAAAAUUGAUCGAAGAUCGAUUAUGAUUUUUUCACAUUUAAAUUGUUGAAUUUCUACUUUAAGAAUUUGAAAGUGAAAUUUCUUACUUUCUCAACUAUAUAAUAUAUAUUUUGUAAUAUCUCUCAUACUCCCUUCGUGUGAUUACACUUCAAAUCUUCUCAAAACAUUUUCAUAAAUUAUUUGAUAAAUGGCAGUAAGAAUAUCAUUUGGUUCCUCGAAGUCUUUCUCUCCAAACUUUAAUAAAUCUUGUAUUUUAGAAGUUGCGUAAACUUUCACUUUUAAUAAAAUUAAAAGUGUGAUUGAUAGUAUUUUUAAUAGAAAUAUAUUUUUAAAAAUCAUUUAUCAAAUUUUUCUUUAAUUUUUAAAUUUUUAUGAGGUAUUAUGAAGGUUGAAGCUAGGGUUGAGAGAUUGGUAUUGGAUAGGGAAAAAAAAAGUAUAGACUCUUUUAGUGAGUGCAAUAAGGUUAAGAAUCCAAAAUGGAUUCCAAACCCACUACUACUAGUAAUUGAUUUGGCUUUUGAAUGUGAGAACCCACCCCACAGCCUAAGUGCAAAGUGUGGAACAUGAGAUUGACUCACAACAUGAGUAGGCAGGGAUUCCACGCCGCAAUCUCUUGGUCAUUAUUUCCCACUACUAGUGCCCGCUAAAGUUCCCAACAACAUAUAAGCAAAUGUGCAAAAGAGCAAAAAGUAUGUUAAUGCCUGAAAUUAAUUUUAGUGGUUCUCAGCCCUUCAUGCCCAUUUAUAUUGCGUCAAAUAUUGGUCAUGUACUGUGACCUAAUUUCUGUGAAGGAUCGAUUGAUGCUUCAAGAGGGGAAGCUAAUGACUCCUAGAAAAUAGGGAUGAAAACCAAGAGGAUGCUUUCAAAGGCCGGUUCUAUCCUAAUAUAAGGGUUGUUUGAUUGUGUUUUUUAAAACAUUUUUAUUCUAAAAGGUUUUUUUUUUUUUUUAAAAAAAAAAGUUGUUUAACAAAAUUUUAGAAAAUGCUUUUAAAAAUUACUUAUGGUGUUUUUCGAGGCAAUACUUUAUACAUCAUUUUCCAAAAAAUACUAUAAGAAACCGUCAAACGCACUCUUGUUAGACUAAUUUGAGAAAAUUAUAAUAGAGUUUGAAACAAAUUUGAAAUUUAAUUUUUAAAUUCAUUAAGGAUUUUAGUGGGAUUUUGAAAAUGAUAUGAUAAUUUUAAAAAAUAUUUAUUUUUUGAAACUAUUUCUAAAUUUACAACACAAAAUUCAAUAGAAUUUUUUUUUAAUAGAUAAUUUGAGAUGAAUUUUAAGAACUCCUUUUUUGUGUGUUCUUUUCUAUGGAUAUUUAAAAACUUGCUUUUUAUAAUAAUACAUAGUUUUUUCAAUUAAAGAUUAUGAUUUAGUAAAUAUAUUAGGUAAAUGAGGCGAUUUUAUUAUAAUAUGAUUUAUACUAUAUUUUAUAAAUUGUUUUGAAGAUUUGACAUUAAUCAUUUACUUGAAUUUGAAAGAAUAUCAACGGAGGUUAAGGUGGUAUUUGUUUUUUUACUAAAAGAAAAAAUUAAAAAUAUUUAGUUUUUUCUAUUCAACUAAAAAUAACAUAUCGAUAAUAUUAAUAUAAUCUUAAAGCCCGUAUGAUUGUGUUAAAAAUGAUAAAAACGUUUUUAAAAAUCACCUAAAAUCAAGGUGAGUCGGACCGUGUUACAAAUUUAGAUCCAUAGGGUAAACAAGGAGAAUUUAAACAAAAGGUCAGCUCCACUUAUGACAAAGAGGCAUGGAGACAAGCCGAUGCCAACCACUAUAAAAACACUAAUCACUGUCUUGUAAAAUCACAACCUUCUCCUCUCAACAAUCCCACCUGAUCGUAUGGCAAUCCUCGCCUCCUCAUCUCUCAAUCGUCUAAUCCGAAUUCUGCUACUCCACCUACCAUGGUUCC
rnacentral:lncRNA from 1 species